UACGUAGGCAGCAAGCGUUGUUCGGAGUUAUUGGGCGUAAAGAGCGUGUAGGCGGCCAGGUAGGUCUGCUGUGAAAACUCGAGGCUUAACCUCGAGAUGUCGGCGGAAACCAUCUGGCUAGAGUCCGGGAGAGGAGAGUGGAAUUCCUGGUGUAGCGGUGAAAUGCGCAGAUAUCAGGAAGAACACCCGUGGCGAAAGCGGCUCUCUGGAACGGUACUGACGCUGAGACGCGAAAGCGUGGGGAGCGAACAGG
rnacentral:rRNA from 1 species